rnacentral:rRNA from 1 species
GUUAGAUAGUUGGUAGUAUAAAAGACUUACCAAGUCUAUGAGCUUUUAGCAAGUUUUAACGAAUAAUUUGCCACAAUGGGAUUGAGAAAGGCCCAGACUUUUAUAAAAGGCAGCAGUAAAGAAUAUUAGACAAUGAACGAAAGUUUGAUCUAGCAAUACUUAAUGGGUGAUUGAAGGUUAUUUAAUUGAAAAACCUUGCUUUUAAAAUAAAAUAGAUGAUUUAAUAAAAGUAAAAAGUCCAAACAAACUUAUGUGCCAGCAGUUGCGGUAAGACAUGGUGGGCAAGCGUUAUUUGGUGUUAUUAGGUGUAAAAAGUCCGUAGGCGGUAUUUGUUUAGUUAUUUUAAAAAGUGAGAGAGAUCCUUUACUUAUAGAUAGCUUUUAAAUACUUGAGUAUAAAAGAAGGAAAUAGAAUUUCUAAAGUACAGAUAAAAUUGGUUGAUUUUAGAAGGAAUUUCAAUAGCGAAGGCUUUUUCCUAGUUUAUUACUGACGUUGAGGGACGAAAGUAUAGGGAGCAAAGAGGAUUAGAUACCCUUUUAGUCUAUACUGUAAACAAUGUAUGCUAAAUUUUAGAAAAUCUCUUUGGAGUUUUUUAGAGUUUAAGCUUACGCGUGAAGCAUACUACCUGGAGAGUAAAGUCGCAAGGCCGAAAUUCAAAGGAAUUGACGGGAGCUGAUAUAAAGGGUGGAGCAUGCGGUUUAAUUUGAUAAUACGCAAGAAACCUUACCAACUUUUGACAGUUAGGGAAAGACAGGUGUUGCAUGGUUGUUUUAAGUUCGUGUCGUGAGAUGUUGGGUUUAGUCCUUUAACGAACGUAAUCCUUAUUAAAAAAUAAUGGUUUUAAUGAAGUUAAAGAAAAUUUUUUUUAAGUAUUAGAGAUAAUUUAAUUGAAAAAGGAAUACAACAAAUCUUCAUGACCCUGAUAAGUUGGGCUACUAUUCGUGUGCUACAGUGGUAAGUACAAUAAGGUAUAAUAAAUUAAUUUAGAAUAGUUUUUAAAGCUUACCGUAGUUCGGAUUAAAAGUUGAAAUUCACUUUUAUGAAGUUGGAAUCCUUAGUAAUCGCAAAUUAGAAUGUUGCGGUGAAAUUUAAUCUCAGUUUUGUACAUACUGCCCGUCACGUCCUGAAAAUAAAUAAAAUUUGAAGUUUUGAUGUAUUUACUUACUUGUAAGUACCAUUAUUAGAUUUUCUUUUGUAAUUGGGAUGAAGUCGUAACAAGGUAGCCGUAAAGGAAUUUGUGGCUGAAAU